UAGUCCACGCCGUAAACGAUGUCUACUAGCUGUCUGGGACUUUAAUGUACUGGGUAGCGCAGCUAACGCGCUAAGUAGACCGCCUGGGGAGUACGGCCGCAAGGCUAAAACUCAAAUGAAUUGACGGGGGCCCGCACAAGCGGUGGAGCAUGUGGUUUAAUUCGAUGCAACGCGAAGAACCUUACCAUCCCUUGACAUCCCAAGAACUUUCCAGAGAUGGAUUGGUGCCUUCGGGAACUUGGAGACAGGUGCUGCAUGGCUGUCGUCAGCUCGUGUCGUGAGAUGUUGGGUUAAGUCCCGCAACGAGCGCAACCCUUGUCCUUAGUUGCCAGCAUUAAGUUGGGCACUCUAAGGAGACUGCCGGUGAUAAAACCGGGNGGAAGGUGGGGACGACGUCAAGUCAUCAUGGCCCUUACGGGGAUGGGGCUACACACGUGCUACAAUGGGGGCGUACAGAGGGAAGCGAAGCAGCGAUGGGUGAGCGAAU
rnacentral:rRNA from 1 species